rnacentral:rRNA from 1 species
AGAGUUAAACAGUGCGUGAAAUUGUUGAAAGGGAAACGCUUGAAACCAGUCAUGCGGUUGGGAAAUCAGUCUCUGACAGGGGGGAAUGGGGGAGGUGUGGACCGCAAGGCCGCUCUUUUUCAUAUCUCUUUUGGCAGGGAUGCACUUUUUCUUCUGCAGGUCAACAUCAGUUUGCUUUGCCGGACAAAACUCUUGGGAAGGUGACAGCUUUGGCUGUGUUAUAGCCCUUGAGCGAUACGGUGGAGUGGACUGAGGUUUUCGCAGCAUGUGCUCUCGGGCAAGGCUGAUUGGGUGCUAUGAGAUCGUUCAGGGUACAAUACAUGUAUUUUGCCUUGUGUCUUUUUUAUACUCGCUCAACUCGGCUCUUCCAUGCUUAGGAUGUUGACAUAAUGGUUUUAAACGACC